GACACCUUCCCUCCACAAGACAUGAGAUUCAACUUGCGAUUGUCCCAUUUACCUCCUAUAUUCUCCACCCUGGUUUCAUGAAUAUCAUUGAUAAUAAUGACUGAAAAAGAACGUUCUGCAGCCUUUGAAACACAACUGCUUACAGUCAAAUGGACAAGUCUAAAGAUAAAAGAAAGAGCAAGCAUGGUUAGCGUUUUAUUUUAUCGAAAAUUGUUAAUCUGGCUUAGGAUUUAACAUUUUUGACCAAAUGAGUUUAAACUUAAUGUGGACUAUAAUAACUUCUGCAUGCUUUAUAAAUUACAAAUAUCAGUCUU